rnacentral:rRNA from 1 species
ACGGAAGGCAGCAGUGGGGAAUUUUGGACAAUGGGCGCAAGCCUGAUCCAGCCAUUCCGCGUGCAGGAUGAAGGCCCUCGGGUUGUAAACUGCUUUUGUACGGAACGAAACGGCGCUCUCUAAUACAGGGCGCUAAUGACGGUACCGUAAGAAUAAGCACCGGCUAACUACGUGCCAGCAGCCGCGGUAAUACGUAGGGUGCAAGCGUUAAUCGGAAUUACUGGGCGUAAAGCGUGCGCAGGCGGUGAUGUAAGACAGGUGUGAAAUCCCCGGGCUUAACCUGGGAACUGCAUUUGUGACUGCAUCGCUGGAGUGCGGCAGAGGGGGAUGGAAUUCCGCGUGUAGCAGUGAAAUGCGUAGAUAUGCGGAGGAACACCGAUGGCGAAGGCAAUCCCCUGGGCCUGCACUGACGCUCAUGCACGAAAGCGUGGGGAGCAAACAGGAUUAGAUACCCUGGUA